AUCCAGCUGACGAGUUCCAAAUAGGACAAAAUGCGCAUCAUAGAU
rnacentral:hammerhead_ribozyme from 1 species